rnacentral:rRNA from 1 species
GACGAACGCUGGCGGCGUGCUUAACACAUGCAAGUCGAACGGUGAAGCGCCUUCCUUUUUGGUGGGUGUGGAUGAGUGGCGAACGGGUGAGUAACACGUGAGUAACCUGCCCCCUUCUUCUGGAUAACCGCAUGAAAGUGUGGCUAAUACGGGAUAUUCUGGGUCUGUCGCAUGGUGGGUCUGGGAAAGAUAUUGUUUCGGUGGGGGAUGGGCUCGCGGCCUAUCAGCUUGUUGGUGGGGUGAUGGCCUACCAAGGCGGUGACGGGUAGCCGGCCUGAGAGGGUGGACGGUCACACUGGGACUGAGACACGGCCCAGACUCCUACGGGAGGCAGCAGUGGGGAAUAUUGCACAAUGGGCGCAAGCCUGAUGCAGCGACGCCGCGUGAGGGAUGGAGGCCUUCGGGUUGUGAACCUCUUUCGCCAGUGAAGCAGGCCUGCCUCGUUUGUGGGUGGGUUGACGGUAGCUGGAUAAGAAGCGCCGGCUAACUACGU